GGGUGAUACAAGAGAUUCUGUUGGUUGUUCAGAGAUGUUGAGAGAUCAACCAGGAGACUGUGGGAGGAUGUGAGCUCUCUGAGAAGGAGAAGAAGUAUUUACAUUAGAAGUCUGAUUCACAGGUCGGGGCAAAGUGAAAAACAUCUGCACUUUUAAAAGAGAGGUCAAAAGUCCGUCUGACUCACCUGUGCUGAGUGACUUGAAUGCCAUCUAAUCUAACUUCAAGAUCAUCAGGAUACUUGCCAACAAGGUCACAGUGGACUCCAUGGAGCAACUGCCCUCAGGAGGCAACAGGUUCUUUUUGAGGGGAGUCUCUCUGAUGCUUGGAAUGAAUCCUGCUGAAUCAAUGCUGAUGCUUGGAGAUCUUCAAGUCUUUUCCCUUUUUCCCAUUGCUCAUGAUGUCUAUAUAACCUCCAAACAUGCAUCCCACUCCUCUGCCGAAAGACCAUUUUUUUAUAUCUUCAGUGAUGGUCUAGGCCAGGUCACAGUGUUUGGACACCGCAUGAACAUGCCAAUUUCCUGUGUUGUAAUAUUUUUAUGCACUUUAAGAAGACCACCAGAAACAGCAGAAGCUCUGAGUAUAGAUGAGGCAAACUUCACAUGGAAAAGAAGCCAUAUUUUGAAAAAACUACACGGAAUCAAAGAGAACUAACUCAAAGAAGCAAAAUUUUGGAGAUAAAACAAGAGAAGAUGUUCCAGGAUUACUUCAUGCUGUCCAGGUCCUAGACAUGGAAUCGUUUGCUUCUUCAAAAGUCUGGAUCCCUUUAAGAUACGAAAUGUAUUUAGA
rnacentral:lncRNA from 1 species